UGUUAGACUAGGUCUUAUGACCUAGUUCACCUUAUAAAAGGUUACCGCCCCAUAUGAUAAAUAUAAGGAGUCUAAAAUUUAUAGUUUUUGAUAGAAAAAGCAGAGAAGAAAGAGGAUGGCAUGGGUGGUUUGAGGUGCCAAUAUCCUUGGAGGAGAGUCUUCAAUCAAGAGAUCAAAAGUUGAUGUCUUGUAGAAACAAAAGCCAAUCCCUUAUUGCGCCCAUUGUCGGAGAAGAAAACAUGCAAAAGAAGUUCGCACCGAUCGAAAUUGUAUCCGAUGGAGACCCUCCGAUGCUUAAGUCAGUGGGGAGUGAUGAAUAGCAGAUAAAAUUUUUAGAGAGGCAAAAUUUUAGCUCAGAAGUCUCUUACCAAUGCUGUUUAUUUAUUUCUUUUUAUAAAUGAGUUAUUGGUAACCGUUUGUAAUAGUUAGGUACGUGGAUCCUGCUUAUUUCGGCGCUAUGUGGUUGUGGGAUGGAUGAUUAUAUCCACUACUGAUCAUGGUAUGUGGCCAUUAUGCAUUUUUUUGCACUGAUAAUUUUUGA